rnacentral:lncRNA from 1 species
CAGAGGAUUGUUGCCUUGGUGUUUGAGGGGCAAAAGAAUCAACUUCCAAGGCUGAAGAAGCUCCCUUUCGCUCUGGAGUACGGACGUCUUUUGCCUAGAGAUGGCCAAGGCACAGGAAAAGAGAAAUCCGGCUAAGAUGCAGGUCCUCCGCCCAGUUCUUCUGGAGCCAGUGAAGGGCAGGAAGUAUUUCCAGAACUGCUACCAGGGUCUCAUCAAAGCAGCGAUGCUCAGGCAGAAGCAUGCAAGACGAAGGUGACUUUUCUGAGAACAAAGUGAAAUUAAGUUUAUUGGGUGAGCAGCUUUUCAGACUGCAAGUCCUGACCGAGGAGGACAGUGUGGCGAAAUGGCUACCUCUUGCUUGUGGGGGUUCGUUCAUCAGAAACAGCAGUGGCUGAAAACCUUAACACAGUUCCUGCUUAUCAGCUGUGCUGGAGCACUUUGUGCCGUUGUGCUGGGCGUAAUAACGGGAUCCUAGGCUGCUGCUUGUACACCGUGGUCGAGCAGGAAGUAGCUGAAAGUGUUACUAAAAUUCAAGUGUGGUGCAACCCAGAGCGCAGCUCCCAGAGGCAGCGAACAGACGCAGCAGUUUGCGCAGCAGUUUGCGCAGCAGUUUGCGCAGCAGUUUGCGCAGCAGUUUGCGCAGCAGUUUGCGCAGCAGUUUGCGCAGCAGUUUGCGCGAAGGGACGUGCGAAGGGACCUUCAUUUCUGUUCCCUGUGGUGUACACUUCCUCAAGUAUGGUCGUGACACGCCGCACAGCGCGUUCCCCAGUGACUGUUGGAGUUGCUGCAUCAGAGGCUUGGACCCAGACUGACCCUCUGACAGUAGAUGCGGCUCUAC